rnacentral:lncRNA from 1 species
UUUUUGAUUUGGUUAUGUUGGUUUAAUUUUGUCAAUAUUUCAGAUAAGUUUGGUUAAAUUCGGUUAUUUCGGUUGGUUAGUUCGGUACAGGUUUUUGGUAUGGUUUGGUUAUAAUUUACUUUUUAAGAAAAUCAAUGUAACCGAUUGCCGAACCAAACCGAAAACCAAAUUUAAAAAAAAACUACCCAAUCGAACCAAACUCCUAUCCGAACUAACCAAAAUUUUUGCUUCGGUUUGGCGAGUUCAGUUUGAAAUCCCAGCCCUACUUUUGGUUGUCCUACAAAUGGUUUAACUCUACAGUUCAGAGCUGGUUUGGUUUUAGUUUCUCGAGUGUGGUGUUAGUUGCAAGCCAUUUACACUGUAAAAUAUUUUGUAACUCCAUAAUGUGUUUGUCUGAAUCAUGCAGGUUCCAUUUUUCUCCCAAAUGGAUGAUCAGUUGCUCGAUGCAAUAUGCGAGCGUCUAGUCUCUUCUCUGUGUACGGAAGGGACUUACCUUGUGCGUGAAGGUGACUUAAUCACAGAGAUGCUCUUUAUCAUCAGAGGUAGGCUCGAGAGUUCCACAACCAAUGGAGGCAGAACCGGUUUCUUCAACUCGAUCAUACUAAGACCUGGAGAUUUCUGCGGGGAGGAGCUUCUUUCAUGGGCUUUGCUUCCAAAAUCAACUCUGAAUCUACCCUCUUCCACAAGAACAGUUAGGGCCUUAGUUGAAGUUGAAGCAUUCGCUCUUCGAGCUGAAGAUUUAAAGUUUGUUGCCAAUCAGUUUAGGAGGCUACACAGCAAGAAGCUUCAACAUACUUUCAGAUUCUACUCUCACCAUUGGAGGACUUGGGCUGCUUGCUUCAUACAAGCCGCUUGGCGCAGGUACAAGAGAAGAGCUAUGGAGAAUCAUCUCACUGCGGUUGAAUCAAAGCAAAGUGAUGAAGAUGAUGAAGAAGAAGAAGUAGUGGUUAGAAAAGUAGUAGAAGAAGAGGAAGAGGGUGUAGGGUCGAGUCCAAAGACAAAGAUGAACAUUGGAGUUAUGGUUUUGGCUUCACGUUUUGCAGCUAAUACAAGACGUGGUGUUGCAGCUCAGAGAGUUAAGGAUGUGGAGAUGCCUCGGUUCAAGAAACCUGAAGAGCCUGAUUUCUCUGCUGAGCCUGAUGAUUGACUGCAUUCAUAUAAACAUAAAAGAAGCUGACUUGGUUUUUAGUUAUACUGGUGAUUUUUAUGAUUAAGUAACGCUACAUAUUUGAGCUUUCCUGGUUAUUGGGGAGUUAUAAAUUAAGAAAUCUAGUGUGUUUUGGUUUUUGUACAUGAAAACAUCUUUUGUAAUCUAAGCUUUGGAACAAAAGAUUCACUGGAAUUAUAUCUUCUGUAGAAGCAUUCUCGUACGUUGAUUGUUUUUAUUUUGACUGAGACUUGAGUCUGUCCUUUCAACCUUCACAUUCUUAUAAAGGUUCUUUUAGCGUCGAGAUAUUAACUCCAUGGUAAGAAAGGUUGUUUUCUUUCGCAUCUUCUGCAUAUUGCUAAAGAAGCAAUUUCUUAUUAGUCGAUGGGAGCCAAAGACUAUGAGAGGGCCACGGAAACAUGGUUUUCUUUUAGAUGAAAAGGGUGUUUUUUUAACUUUUUUCAGUAUCAUUUCAAUACACUUAAACUAGAGUAACAUGUAUUGUAAAAAGGGUGUUCAAAACACAUAAACUAGUGUAACACAUUGUAAAAAAGGUGUUUGUUUUUGUUGAAUAAAUUUAAUAUUCAAAAAAAUAAAAAAUAAAUGAAAGGAAGAUCUAUUGACAAUUUUGACUUGGUAUCUACACAUAAACACAAAUGAUGACCGAGAUGUCGGGACAAAUCAUAAUCUAUAUUACACGAUUACAUACAUAUUGGGCUUUUCUUUUCAUGAUGGCAACAUGACCGACUCAUUGUAAUCAUGGAUUCUGAGCAUACGAUUAAAUCAUUUACUAUAUUGAAAGCUUUCUAGAAAUUUCGAGUUCCAGAUAUUAAUAGAAAAUUAAGGAUCUCUUGCAUAAGAAGUUAGUCAUGCAUAUAACAGGUCCUGAAAUUAUCAGCCUUCUUAAAAACGGAGAAAAUGCAUUUUUUUUUGAACUGAGAAAAUGCAUUUUAGUUGAAUAGUUAUUCUAUCUUUUUUUUUUUUAAUUUACAGCAACUUGAACCUUAGUGUGUAAGUUGCUCACUGAAGAAGUUAAGUUCAUGCCCCCUUUCCAAAAAGCUCAAAUUCAACAUGAGGUUUCAAUCAUGUAAGGUGCAGAUUUGUGACCCCUUUUGGUUAUAAUAUAAUACAUAUCUUAUAUUCCUAAAUGAUUAUCUUCACGCCCUUUUCAUUGUUAUGAUAAAAGAAAGAAAGACUGGAAAAUAUAUUAAAUAUGAAACGGGUCUUUGAGUAAAGUUGCAGCAUUUGCUGCAUUAUUUUAGUUUCCACUUGAAGAUUAUUCAAUUACACUCUCAGGUUGGUCUGUUAUUAUGAGUUUAUUUUUGUCACUUCAAGAUCAAGUAUUGGCAUGGUGUAUGAUGAAUCUUUUGUUUGAGAUAAACUGAAUCUAUCUAAACUUUAAGAACUUUCAACUACUGCAGUGUCUAAUGCGUAUAAUCUUUCUUACUUUUGGCUGAUGAUAUAUUUAACAAUGAAAUGAGGAGACAUAAUGCAAAUCCACCAAAAGAUAAAAGAGGCCAUAAGGUCCAUAUAUAUAACUAAAUAAUUGAAUGAUAUAAAGGCAUGUUUUGGUUUGUCUUCUCCUUGUUCUAGUGCUUCUCUUUGGCUAAAAUCCUUCAUUUUAAAAUAAUAUUAAAGUAAUAUCUCCACUAAUUAUUUUUUGUCAAUAAUUAGGUUAAAGACUGCUUUAUAUAUAACAAAUCCAUAUUUGAUGACAAUGAAAGGUAUUGGACAUGCUUUUAUUAGUUAUGUUAUCAUGUAUAAACAAGUACCAAAAACGUCAACCUUAUCUUCCACUCUUAAGUAUUAAUACUAUAAUGUAAUAUCUUAAAAAGUGAAAGAAAAAUAAAUAUAUUUUGAAAGCUUUGUCUUCAAGUGUGUAGCAAAAAACGGAGUUAUCUAUGAAAAAAAAACAGAUAUCUAUAACUAAUGACUUGUAGCAAAAGAAAGUUUAUAGAGUAAAUAUUAAAAUAUCAUUUUUGAUUACUAAGUGGUUGAGACAUUAAACCAAUAAAAUGACAUUACAAUUUGUGCACUUUGUGUCUAGCGAUUUUCAAUUUUUGUGCAUUAAGAUCGAUUUUCAGUAGAUAUAUGUACUAUCACAACAAUAUUUGUAUUUAGUUUGAAAACAAUCUGAAUUUUGAUAGAUAAAUAAUAUAUAAAUACAUAUGCAUAUUGAUUGAACACAUGAAGUCACUUGGCAUGCAUAUCCUUGCUAAUAACUACUCCUCUCAUAAUAGCUUAUAUAUAAAAAGAAUUGUGGAUGUUCCCAAUGUAGUUUUUAAAUUCGAGCUAGAGUCUAUAUUGAACAAGAAAAUUCAUGGUGUCAUGUAGUUUAGAUCAUUGGACCGAAUGUCUAAUCGUUUUUUGUUAUCAUACGUUAGUUAGGUUUAAAUUUCAUAUCGGACCGGUUUGCAGAUUGAGGCUUAGAAUCAAUGGUCAUAAAUGAUAAAAUCAAAUUAGAUAAAAUCAAAUUGUGGCCUUAAAAACCCAAAGAGACCGAUCACUACGUAUGUAUGGUCCGACCGACAAUUUUACGUUCUGAAUUUUUAAACAUGUUUUCAUUAUAAGCCGAUAGUUUUUAACUUUGUUUUGAAGUCCCUCUAAAUCGUGUACUGACCAAAGUGAAACUCUAUUUAAAAUAGACGUCAAGAUGUUAAUCAAGAUCCUAAUUUAAACACUUGUAAAAACAUGCUAAGUGUAAAUCUUGUUGUCAAUACACUACUCACUAGAAAGACUUCAAUAUUUGCUACUUGAAUUAAAUAUAUUUAGCCCAAUGCUUAAUUCAAAUACAUAAAACCGGAAAAUAAAAUUGCAUUAAAGAAAAGCCUGUGAGGCUGUGAGUUAUUGAGUCUGAUAUUUGCAAUUUUUUAAAUAAAUAUUUGGUCCAUGAGAGUGGUUGGAUUUGCUGCUUUCAUUCUAAAAAGGUGAUAUAAAGACAAGCCACAUACUAGCCCAACCACUUAGUACUUUUAAAAGUAUAACUUUCUACUGAAAUAAAUGUCUUCUGAAUAUUAUAAAAGUAUAUAAUAGUAGUAUAGUUUUUCUAAAAUUCAGUAUGUUACGAGAGACUACAAUAUACUCCAUUAAACUCCAAGAAGAAACAUACGAAAGAAUAAUCAAAUAUAACCCUGAACAAAAUAUUAUAAAUCCACUAUGUCACCAGUAACAUCUCUGUAUGUUAAUUAAUUUCGUAUUUGUUUUCAUAUGUAUAAGAAGAUUCCUCAUUUUCUUUUUGUGGAUGUAUCAGCUUUCUACUUUCAUUUUUUCAAAAGAAACAAAAAAUUAUACUUUCAUAUCAUAUCUAAAGGCUGUAAGUUAUUCUGAGCCGUUGAUAACUCUUUUUUACUGUAAUGUUUUAACCGAACUUUUCUCUCCCCGCCAAAGACGGUUUGGAGACAUAACACUAUUUACAUCUUUCCCCUUCCCCAAUUCAAUAAUUACGAAUCUACCCCUCACCGGAAAAAAACAAAAACUACUCAAACGACCACCGUUCUUAUACUACUCGGAAGAUACCCUCCGGAUGAUCGAUCACUUACAUCAUCUUCAAGCUCAAUCCUAAUCACAGAAUCUUCUAACGAAGAAGACACUCGAGACUUCACGCUAUUCAAGCUCGAACUCAUUGCUUCCUCAAGCCACUCCUCUAAGCUAAUCUUGCUAAGCCAAAUCGCGCCAGCGAUUCUCUCCAGAGCAUCGUCUUCAAUCUCCACCGUUAGACCGUCAGAGAAACGUUUAUUUAAAGAUUCUUUGGUCUUAUUCUUGAUCGAACCAAAAUCAACCGAUCUAAAGACUAUAGCGUCGUCAGCUAACGCCACUAGCUUGUGAAGGAAGUUACUAUUGUCUUCUUGAUCGUUGUGCUCGACCGUUACAUCACUAGACGAAUCAAACUCGGCCGCUUCGUUCAAGUCGAAACAAAUCUCUUUCCUCUGCUUUGUUUGGUCGUUACAACGCCAGUUUGGUUUUCGUUUCCGUGUAUUGCUUCUGUUACAAACCGAGAGUUUUAGCUUCCAUCCUCUCCUCACCAGACUCUCUAGUCUUGUCUCGUCAAUAGGAACAACUUGUUCAGCUAAACCGUGCGACGAAUCUGUAGUCAGGAUUAUAAUAACGUUCCCUAGACUAACCUCACGUCCAUACGAAUCACAGAUCCUCCCUCGUUCCAUCGCUAGCUUCACGUUGUUACGCAGCAACAAAUCAGCUUCGUCGAUGUCUUCCAUCACAAUAACCGCGAACGGGUUUCUCCUAACGGUUUCCGCUAACCUAUCCAACGCCGUUUUGCCACGGAGGCUUAAACCAUCGUCGGUCCGUGAACCGGAGCCGAGGCUGAUGGUUAUCGGUUGGCUUCCCGAGACGAGAUCGGACAGCGCCGAGGCCAUUUUGGUCUUCCCGGUUCUGUCUGGACCGGUGAACAUUAACCAAAUAUCACCUUUUGAUCUCCCGUUUCCGUGUUUGCAUUCGGUGAUCGCUGAUGCUACCGAAGAGGCUGCGUCGUGCUGCCACCAGACGGUUUUCGCUAAGCCCUUGAGUAGCUUUUUGAAUAGAUCGAUGUCGAAUGAGUCUCCUAGCUUUCCGGAAAGGGCUUCACUAGUCUUCUUUUUCUCCGGUGAUGAUACAAUUCUGUUGUUGGAACGUCCGAGAACCAAAUCUGUAGCGAUUGGACUUCCAGGUGGAGUUAUGUCCGAUCUUGGGUUUGGUUUCAACAUAGACAAGGACGAAGGAGCCGUUAUUUCAGACAGAGAUGGUUUUGGAUGUAAACGCAAACACAAGUCAUUCCAUUUAUUCUGCAACUCCACUAUCUCUUGAUCUUUCGUCUACAAGUAAAAAGAAAAAACAAAACAAAAAUUAAUAUUCAAUGCAAAAACGGUUUCUUAUGUUGGAAUCAAUUCACCAAUAAGACUUACAGGUUUCUUGUCACCGACGUUGUCGGCUUUAGCGUUCUGCAGCCACUGUGGCAAGACCGACCGGUUAUCUCCGGUUAAUGAUUUUUCCAAUUUAGCGACGUCGUUUUCAUAACUCUGCAAACACAGAGAGCAACAGCCCAUUUUACUCGUCGGAAUCUGGGAGCUUCUCGUCGGAGAUAUGAUAUUACUGCUUAAUAAGAAGUUAUUAUUGUAGUUGCUCCCAAGCCUGAGCAUAACAAAAAAAAACUGAGACUUUGUCCGAAAAUUAAUAGCGAAACUCAACAAUUAAAUAAAAGACAAACCUUUGGAACAUGGUCGGGAGAAUAGAUUUAGCGGCGAUCGGAAUCGCUUGAAGAUCACAAUCAUUCUCCAUCGAAGGGUAAUAAACUUGACAUCGUAGAUAAGUCUCACACGUAGCCGUACCAAUAAAACAUAACCUCCCUUCGUACCUCUCCAAAAGCUUCCUCAUCUCCGCCAAAGCUCCUCCUCCGCCGCCGCCGCCGCCCGCCGCUAACCAUUUCAAAUCUCCGAGAUCAAGAACAACACCGCCGGUCAAACCCGAAUUCCCGAUCCGGGUCUCCACCAACCCGGAGAUUUCACCGAACCUCGUCGCCAUUUGCGCAGCUGACUCAUUCUCCAACCGGAUCACCUGAAAAUUGCGAAGCGGACCGUCGGAAAAUUCUCCGCUCUCGAUCUUGGCGAGAAUCUCUUUAACGAGAAUCUGAGGCUCCGAGUCUCCGACGAGAACCGGGUUUCUUCUCCGGGUCCGGGUCAUUACAUCGAUGACCCGUUUAACUUCGUCUGUCCUCUGUAUCACCCCCGAGGAACCGUUAUGGUGUAACCGGGGGUUAACGUAAGGAUUCCGGUUAACCGGAACCGGUACAGGUCGAUAACCGAAUCCAAUUGAAGACGGGUUAACCAUCCCGCCUUGUCUAACGGAAUUACCAGAAAGAGACUGUUCGAUCGCGGACUUCACGGCGGGGCUAGAGAAGCUAGCCUCUCGCAUGACCCGGCUUACGCUCGGGUCAUCGAGAAUCGAAAUGAUAAGCUGCUCGAGCUCGACUUUAACCGCCAAAAGCGGUUGCUGCUGCUGCUCCGGGCAACCGCGCCGCUGGUGAGCCUGCGCGCGUUUCAAAGCCGCGGUUAGAGCGUUUGAAAGAAGAGGAGGCUCCUGCGUUUGCGAUGGGGAAGAAGUUGUAGUAGUAGGGAGGCGUUCGAGGGCGACGCUGAAACAUAGCUCGAGAGCUCGGCACUGGAGUGGGUGAGAGGAGUUUGGGUGGGACUUGAUGCAAGCUUGUCGGAGAAAACCAGAGGAGGAUGAUAAGAGAGUGGCCGCCACGUGGAGGGGCGUCGUGUGGCCAUGGUUGCGACGUGUCGCCUCGGCGAUGGACUGGUUGAGAACAGUCGCUGCUUCGGGCGUCAGCGUUUGCUGUAUUGUAAUCAAAUCUGCUCUCAUCUCAACGAGAAGAAAGAAAAAGUCUUGGCUGCUGUUUUUCUUUUCUUUCUCUUUGUUAUCUUAAUAAGGAGAAACCUUUGCAUUAAGAGCUUUCUGGACCGGCCAAGAUAUUAAAUUUAAAAAGAAGUGAAAGAAAGUUUUGGCAGAGAAAAAUUGUUUAUCAGGUAAAAAAGGAGCAACACAAAAGAUGGCUUUUUACAGAAAAACAAAAGCGAUCAACAGAAAGGUAAAAUAGGAGCUUUUUCAAAAAGUUAUCUCUGUCUCUGUUCUUGAGUUACUGUGGACUUUCAUUGUAUCUGUCUUGUUAGUGUGAGCGCGUGUGAAAAAAGAAGAUUGGUAAAGAAAAAGAAAGAUGGAAUCAUCUGCUUCACAACAACUUCAAAAACUUUCUCAUAGCUUUUCAAUGUCUAAUCUAUCUAUUUUGUGCCAAAAAAAAAAAAAAAUCAUCUAUCUAUUUGAAUUUAUUUGACGCCAAAUAUUAUAACAUCAUUAGAAAUGACCAAGUUAUUGUGUCUGCAGCUAUAAUGGGACGAAAGCCUCAAAGUCAUUAAACUUGGUUUGAAAGUACCUUUUUAGACAAUAAACAUCCAACUAAUAUACGUAAUUUGUAAGACUAAAAUAUUUGCUUUGACAGAGUUGCAGUGUUUUCGAAUUUUUUAAUGAGCGUUAUUUUUUGGAGUGUAAACCAUUAUAUGAUUAACUUAUUUGACGAUUAAUUGAUUUGUUAAGCAUUUUUAUGUAUCCACUAGUUCAUCUACAAGAUAAAAUAUUAAUCUUUGUAAUUUGCUAUACGGUUGCGAAAUAUAUUUUUUAUGAAUAUUAUUAGAAUUUGUGUAUUUGAUACUAUUGUGGAAAACAAAACAGACUAAUUAUACUACUUUUGGAUGAGUGUGGAAAAAAGGUUACCAACUAGUAAUAAAGUUUUGAUGACGCAAUAAAAGUUGAAUCUAGUCAGAGAAAUAGGACAAACUAGUUUCGCGCGUCUGAAACUAGCGCGUGUACGAGAUCGCUUGAGUGUUUCGUUCCUGAACGUGAAGAGCGGUGUGCUCACGUGCCAUCGAAAACGUGUUGGUGAAAAAACGUUGGUUACUUUUUAUUUCUUUUAUCAUUCUUGGGUUUUACCUUUUUAAACGAAAUAUCUGUAUUUCACACGCAAUCCCUGCAAAAGGAAUCACAAAAAAAAAAAAACUUUCACCUUUUCGUAUUUGCCUUUUUACUCUCUUCUGACUCAUUUCCGCCGUUACAAAAGUUAUUCCUUUUCAACCUUUUUGUUAGAAUUUAGCAAUUAAUAUAAUAAAUACUAAAUAUUAAUCUCAGUUUAGUAAAUGUUGUGUAUAGAACUAUACUUGUAUAUCUUUAAUUUAUUUUAAAAGUGCCACCACAAUGAAUGGUCGUAAUCCGAUAUCUGUAUAUUAAUAAUAUCACAUGUGAUUCCGACGAUUUUAUUUUGAUUCAUAAUUUUGUAAGAAAUGUAAUGGAUUUGGCUAAAGGUUAUAUUUUACACAGCACCAAAAAAGAAAAAAAAUUACACAACACUCGUUCUAAAACAGAAAAAUAUUCCCAAAACCACAUUUAUAUUGAGAAGGGGAGCGUAGACAGGAGUCAAGCCAUGAAAAGCUAAUAAAUGAUUUGAAACAAAUGAAAUACAUCUGAACUUCUCAUAAUGAACGACGAUCCCAACGAACAUAUAACUUAGCUUUGAAGCUAAUAGACUCGAGAAUAAUGAUUAAUAGAUACAACACGAACAUUUUUAUGAGUUGCUAUUUUGACUCGAAGAUCAUAAUGUUUAUAACAUACCCAAAACUUUUAAAAGUAAGAUUUCCCCUAGACCAAUUUGAUAUAAACUUGAAUUUCAGUAACCAAAUGCUUGGCGACAGCUUGACAUCCUUUUGGAACAAGGACCAAAUCACAAAGAUCAUAACAUUGAUUGUGUUACCAACUCAACAAUAACAAUUCAUUUUUUCAUUGUUUGGAUAGAGAAUAUUAAAUGUAUAGACAAGAAUUGUAAGGUCAUCACAUGUGCCGAUGUGCGAGCCGACCCAAUAAAUUCAGAGACCAUUUAAUACACAAUCUAUUUUGUGCAAAAAGACUCAUACUUCUACACCAAACUCAUUGUCUUUUCAUAAUUUGUUACCCUUCAUAACUUGUCACAUUUCAUUUGUCAGAACCAAUAAUGCAAGGAAACUCAAAUACAUAUUCAUGUUUUUUUUGACUAAACAUAUAUUCAUGUCUCAAUAAAAUAAUUAGUGUAGGUAUUGAUUUGCCAUAAGAUCCAUCUAGUUCAAGAUGAAUAAAUUAGUUAAUUUAAGUUGUUGACAACUCCAAAAAGGUAGAAAGAGAGAAAAAAUCGUCCAAGCAGUCGAUCAAACUACUUGCAUGCAAUUUACGAGCGUAACCUUUAUUUAAUUUACCAGCGUAAAGUAGAAAAUAUAAAAAGUAACUGGGUAAGAGUAGCGCACGCUUUGCCUUUGGGUUACGCGUUUAUCGAGUUAACUCACUUUUUAACCAACUAGUCCUUUGCAGCCUUUUUACACUAAACUUUUCUCUGUUAUACUCUUCCCUUGUCAAAAAAAAAAACUCUCUUCUCUUGUCCAUACUCCACACACCUCUUAUUUUAACUUCCGAAUAUUUCAUUAAAAUUAUUUAUGUUUUAUGAUUAGGACUAACUAAAUAGGAGUACUGCAUACAUCGAUAAAAGAUAUAUCCUAAUCCCUUGUUUCCAAAAAACGAAAGGUUAACUAGGUAAACAUCUGCAGUCAGAAUACUCCCAGGUGUUACAUUCUAUAUUAGAUAUUAUCACAUCAGAUACUAUAUGCAUGUACAAUUUAGUGAGUUUUGGUUAGUACCGAUUCUUAUAUUAUCUUAGCAAAAUCCAUAAUCACCGCCCAAAUAUCAUAUACGCUCCUAACAAAACACACAAAUAAAAAUGAGUUUCAAAUCUGUAAGUGAAGGGCUAAAUUAAGAUUUGGACUAUCUUUGGAUAUCCUAAUUGUUUCGGAGUCAUUCUGUACAAGUCUACGAUGGGGUCUUUGGGUUCUUGGACGAGGCGGAAAUUGUCGUGUAGCGAUGGAAUAAAAAGAGAAAAAAAAAAGCUGACGCAGAAGAAUAGUUUUAUCGUAAAGGCCGAUGAACAUAAAAGUGCAAGUUUGAAAAGAGUUGAGAGUUUCAGCUUUCUGCAUUUAUUACAACUAUACGUACAAUUCUUGUCGACCUACUGUUUCUACGCAAUGACAACUUUGCCUUUUAAUUAUGCUUUAAAUACCACUUUUUCAUAUGGUAUAUAUAUGAAUCCUGGACAGAUGAAAAAAACUUUCUCAAAGAUCACUUAUAAAACUUAUUAUUAUUAUGAUGUUCAAUACUAUAAAUUCACCAAAGUAUUGAACAUCAUAAUAAUAAUACUAAGAAAAAAAUACUAACGAAAUAUAGAUUAAGAAACAAUAGAUCAACGUUAAACCGAAUCAUAAAUUAUUCAAAAUAAAAAUAAAGUUCUUGUUUUGUUAUUUUACUUUUUUCCCCCUCUAAUAAUGUUUUUGGUGUAUAAUUUGUCCAAAAAUGUAUUUAAAAUAUCGAAACAUUUUUGCCAAAAAAUAUAACAUUUUCGAGAGUUAAUAAUUGCGGUGUCAGAAUAAUUCUAUCAAAUUUCCGACCGAACUGAACUAAAAAAAGCGGAUUGAGCUUUUGGUUAUCAUUUCACGAAGUUAACCAUCUCACGAGACAUUUCAAUAAGAUUUAUCGACCACAGAAAAAAAUUUAAUGGGAUUUUCUUUUUGUUCAGCUAUUUUAGACAUUUUGGAGUUCAUAGGAACAUUACACCUAACAAAAAAAGUCCCCACGUUUACAUAGUUAAAGAAUAAUAACAUCGCUGUUCCAAACCCCAUUGUUCUUCCACGAUGGUGGCAUAAACCCCUCUAUUUUCUCUGACAAAACAUAUUCGUUCAAAAGCCUGCAAAUAUAUAAUUAUAGAAUGAUGAUUUCAUCUUUUUUUUUGUAACACUGAUGAUUUCAUCUUUAUUUCUUUACUAGAUUUUGACCCGCGCUUUAAAAGCGCGGAAUUUUUAAAAAAAUAUUAUUUUAAAAAAUAUUAUUUUAAAAUGACAAAAUAUUUAUAAUUAUAAAAGUAUGUGGUUUAAUAUUUGAUUAUCUAAUACAAUUAUAGUUUUGCUGAUUUUUUAAGUUAAAAAUAUUAAUAGAUAUUUAAAAUGAUAUAAAAGUUGGAAAUUUAUUUUCAUAUAUUUUUGAGAAAUAAACACUUUAUUCCCAACAGAAAGCAGUUAUCACAACCCAUGCAGUCGCUGUUCACACAAAGUUAGAGAAAAACAAAGGUAUAGAUAUAUCCAUAUCUUUAUUCAGAUAUCUAAAUGCAAGAAUCCUUGCAAAGUCUCAGACGAUGAAUGCAUGAAGUUAUGGUGACAUAGUAGGAGCCAUAGGGUUUUGAUUCUGGAGUGUAAUGGUUUGUGCUAGAAAGCGUUCGACUGCGUUUGACGCAGUCAUAUUUAUAAUAACAAUAGGAAAACGAUUUAGGUGUUUAGGUUAAUAGUAUUUAAGGAAUCACGUGCAGCAUAUUCUAAAAUAUAAACUUGAUAGAUAUUCUGAAUCAAAAUAUAGAUAGUGUCGUUAUUGAUUCAAAUAUUUGCGGAUCCUAUUUUAAUGAUGAGCAAAUUCGGUGAGAUUAUUUUGGAAACAUGUAUUAUAUAUUUUUCUACUUUUCGAUGCUGUUUUAAGAGAAAUUGAUAGAGAUUAUUUUCGAAGUUAAUAUCUAUAUUAUACAAUAUAUUGUGUCUCCCUAUAUUGUAUCAUACAAAUUGUGUAUCUUUUAUUUUUUUCUCAAGUUUGAAACUCAUGAAUUGACCACUCUCAAAAAUAUCUAAAAAAUAUGAAUUUAGAUGAGAAACUUUACGUAAAAAUAUAGAUGAAGAUGGGCGUUCACUAUUUCUAAAAAAAUGAGAUUCUUUUGUUAUGAAUUUGUAAACCGAAGUGUAAUUCUGUUGCUUUUUGAAAAAAUUAUUCAAAUAUAUAGAAUGUUGGAUAACACGUAUAGUACACAUCUGUAAGAAUGAUAUUCGGAAAUGACUAUAUGCAUUACAAUAUGCAGUUUUGAUGUAUGAUAUGAAAACGUAGACACAUUCUUAAUGCCUUAAUACGAAAGAGAAGUGUGUAUGAACCUAACAUUGAUGUUGAGAAGUGUGUAUGAAACUUUGAAUUACUUAUGUAGUAUGAGGAUCAAACUCAAUAACACAUUAACACACUGGUUGGUUUUGAAAAAUAUGUUAAGUGGAGAAUACGUUUGAUUUUGGUCCCACGAGCUGUAUGGAUGGUUCUGAAAAAUAUGUUAAGUGGAGAAUACGUUAGAUUUUUCCUUUGGAAUAUAGUCCUUUAUUUAUUUGUUUUAUUAAUUCAUUAUUGAAAAAAAAUGCAGUGGCAUAUCAUUGUAAUUAACUUUAAAAGGCAGGGGCAGAAUCCUAUUAGGGAUUCUGCUUUAAUAGUAUAGAUAAGCGAUGCUAGCGUUAAUAAGAGGCACUGUAAGUUUGUUACCUGCUUUAUAAUAUUACUGAAUUAAAAAAUUGUGUCAAUGACGUUAUUAGAUAUCCCCUCAAAUGGAGUAAGAAGUCUAGUCCCCUGAUUUUGAGGCUGCUUUAUUAAGAAGGGUGAGAAAAUUCAUUUAAAGAUUGACUCCAGAUAAGGAAGACUACGUACAGUCUAGGUCACAAAUGUAUUUGUCAAAUACAGUACAUGAUACCCGCGUAAGGCGCAACAAAUGCGAAACACGUCUGAUUACUACUGAUGAAUAUAACAAUAGAGUCAAAAUUGCUAACGAGAAGAUUGACUAACCUGAUAUUAAGAUUGUAAACCCCAAUUUUUAAUAUAAGCUAAACCCAUUAAGUUCAUUAGUUGGUAGGGGCGAAUCACAUUGAUGGCUCACUUUUCUUUUGUUAUAGGAGUAAUAAAUACAAAUUCUUGGUGUACUUUGAGUGAUUCAAGUAUCACAUGAUACCACGCUUACUUGUUUCAAAAUAUCCUUAAUUGAAAUAUUUUAUGCAUUUCUUAUGAUCAAGUUUUUUUAUAGUAAUUAAUUAGACUAAUCUAUUGGAUUACGUAUUAGAGAGUAGAGUCGAACUUUAUUGCCGAAUGCAGAGUGCUAUAAGCAAAACGUAUUUGAUUCAAUUCAAAAUAACGAAUUGAAAACAAGUUGAAUCAUAAUUUUUUUUUAUUUUUUUGACGCGGUUUCGAAACUUUGACGCUAAGAAAAUGUGAAUAUGUACAUGAUGACUACAUGUCCACCUUUCCCUCUCAAGGCGACGGUCCACAACAAUUUGGCAGACUUCCAAUUUCCAUUUCUAUCACUGUAUGGCUCUUUUUUCUUUUGGCAGCCACUAAUAUUACUUUUCUUUUGGGGGUCCAAACCAGUUAUAUCACUAUAUGCUAAUCUACACAUUUUAUAUGAUUUUCACUAAUAUCCAAAUUCAGAUUAAUUUGAAAGACACCAAAAAUCGUUUAUGGUGUGAAAAUGAUGCAUUACCAAUAACAAGGAUGAUUCUGAUAAGAAAAUUGGUUUAUUAAAAUAUUGAAAAUAGUAAUGCUGGUUUAAGAUUCAAAACUAAUUAAAAUAAGUCAUUGCAAAAUCAGAUAGGUUAUGAUUCAACCUUUCCUGUUCUAUAAAUUUCCAACCAAUAUGAAGGGGAUAUAAAAAGUGAUUUUGAUAAUUAUCUGAUGUGUGGUUGAAACAUCUCCGCAAAUUUGAAUUUUAGUUUGGUUUAAAUUUGUUUUAAAAGUUUUAGAUACAUAAAAGUGUACAAAUUUUAAACCAACUUGGUUUUGAUCGGUUUCUUCAGUUAUGCGGGGUUGGGUCGAUUUCGUUUAUUCGGAUUUUUACAUAGUUAAUUAACUAAUUGAAUUCUUUUCAAGGUGAGUUAGUAAACUAUGAGAAUUAAGUGUAUAGGGGCCCUUUACACCACUAGUGGGCUAUAAAACCAUGCACCCAAAGCUAUUAUGGGCUUUAGUUAGACAUGGAUCCAAAAAACCGCUCCAUAUUACUUCUGUUGAAUUGAAGACGCCAACACCAUGUAAUCAAUUGAAUAUACCUUUUUCUUCUUUUCGUCUACUCUUAGGUUCAAAUGUUUUGAUGAUUUUUGCUUUUUAACGAAUCAUUUUCACAGGCUGCCUCUCUUGUCUUUGGGAGUGACAGUUUAUCAAAUGAGAUAUAAAGUGAAACUUGGUUAGGGUUUAGGUAAUUUCACAAAUUAUCUCUCUCAGCUCUAGGAAGUUUUUUUUUUGUUUACACACUCUCAACUUAUGGUAUCUAGACUCUUGCUAGAUUUUGUCUGAAAAUCAGACGUGGUUGUACUUGUGGUAAUGUUUUUGACAGUUAAAAGAGAAAAUCAAUUCUAGACUCUAGUAAACUUAAAUACCUUUUUUGCUAGGCAUAAUAUCUCUCUCUCAACCAAGCACGCCGCCAAGCCCCCGUCUGGUUUAGAUCCGCCGUUCUCCGGUGUUUGGCGCUCCUCGCCGGCACCGAAGAUGAUUUUCUUGUCUUCUUUCAUCUAUGGCUGUAGCAGUUGGUGGUUCUUAGGUUGCUCUCCGGCAACAUCUCUUCCCCAUCAGGUUCAUGCUCGUUUGAGGAACAAGGAGGUUUAGAGGUUUGUCUUUUGUCUUGUUUAAAGAGGAUAUCGUGUCUCUAGCGCCGGUGAAGUUCGAUGGAUGGAACCAGUUUCGAGUUUCCUCAGAUCUGUGUACUCUGAUCUUGUUUCUCUCGGGAGUUUGAAUCUAAAGCUUCUCUAUUGGGUUUUAGUGGUUGUCUUCGGUCUUGUUUCAGUAACGGUGUAAGCGGUGGGGUAACGGUGGCGUAGUGUUGUGUGGUGAGCAGAACAGGCCUACAUCCUUCAGAAGUUUCAGAUAUCCUGUCACCUCUCCAUAUCAGUUAAGGAGUCCUUCUCCCGGCCUUUUAAUAAGUGUUUCUCCCGGAUGGUCUUAUGUUUCUCUGUUCCUCGGUGGCUUCGUUCGUUGAAGCAAUACAGAGAGGUUGAGGUCUUAGGCCUGCCGACGAAGGUUUGGUUGAGAAGGGGCGUUUAACCUCAGGUGUUUGUUUCCUCUUGAAUUUGGUAGGUUUUGUGGUUCUGGCUUGGUAUCGUGAACUGGAGGUUCAGGUAUGUUGAGUUUGGUUUCGUUGUAUUGGUCACUGCAUCGCUCACUCUCUCUUGUGCUUGUAUGGGUUUCGGCAAGAGUUCCGGCUGUUUCAAUGAUUAAAGGACUUUCUUCUUUCUCCUGGUCUAGGAUUGUUUAUGGGUUUAGAUGCAGGAGUGUAGUUUUAUCUAGUGAUAAUUGUAGUUGUUAUGUGUUGCCCGUUGUUUGGGUUCUAGAUUCUCUUUUGUGAGCUAAGUUUCCGGGGAUUGUAAUGUGUUUCCGCCGGUUUGGAUUCCAUCUUUGUAUGUUUCUCAGUUUUAUAAAUUAAAUUCAGAUGGAAAAAAAAAAAAAAAGACUCUAGUAAACUUAAAAAGUGGUUAUGUAGCACACCGUUGAUAAGAUGCAAUAAAUAUAUGGAUAUGACAGCUUCACGAUCCAACAACACCAGUAAGUAAGACAAUAAUAAUCAUAAAUAUGCCCAUAUGUUUAUCCUGACCCAGCCCACUGAUAUAUUGAUUGUCCUUUUUACCCUUUUACAUUCACAACGUGCAACAAGUACCUCGCAUUUAAUACACUGCUUUAUAGUACAAAAUUACAAACCAUAUAUCAAAUCUGCCGUUCAUAAGAUCUUAAAAGUUAUUAGGGCAAGAAUGUAAAAAAAAAAAUUGAGGAUUAACUCAUAGAACAAAAAAAAAAAAAAACAUCUUCUUAUUGUACUAUUUGACUCUAGUAAUGUUACGUAAACUCAGUCUAAAAUUUCAAAAAUGCUUUCACAAGAAAGGAAAAAAAUCAAGUAAACUUUAUAAAGCUUUAAGUGGCAGUUAUGUAAAUGUGUAGUCCACAUGUGGGCAUUUUCUAGUUACAGUUUAGAAAAGUCAUAAAUAAAGCUUUUCGGGAAAAUCUACUAAACACAUGCACAUCGCAUCGAACAUACAGAUUAGCUCUGUCUUCGAAACACUUAAAAAACUUAAAACAAAUAAAUAAAAAAAGCUUUUGAAUUGUCUCGGGAACAGAACUCAAGUCUUCGAAGUUCGAUCAAGUUUCAGUUUUUUUUUUUAAUAUUAAUUUUAAUCUGUUGUUCACUAACGAAUUUGAUCACCGGAGAGAUAUGGAGGAGACACCGAGGUCCGUCGGCGAGGCGUCGACGACUAACUUCGUGGUUGCACGACCGUCUGCGAAGACUGAUGACGCGGUGACGAUGAGAGGCUGUGGUUUCGGUAACUUCGGUGUAGACAGAGAGGAGCUUCGUCGGAGGAUAGUGAUGCCUGAGUAUCUCCGACUCGCCAUGCGAGAUUGCAUCAAGCGGAAAGACUCCACCGCGGUUCCGGACCAUUUGGUACUUCCCGGCGCCGCCGCCGCCGCUACGGAGGAGUUAGCUCCUCAUACACCGAUGGUUGUGUUUAUUAAUCCUAAAAGUGGAGGUCGUCAUGGACCUGUUCUUAAAGAGAGGCUUCAACAGUUGAUGAGCGAAGAACAGGUCACUUGUUCUUGUUUUGUAUAUCAGAAAUUAAAGAUCGUAACUUUUGAACUCAUCUUACUUCAACUUUGCAUUUAUAUUUGAUGUUGGGUGAAAUUAACUUAGUUCAUGGUUCUGGGUCAUUACUUCUUCACUUAUAUGAAGAGGAUCUUAAAUCUAGAUUUGGGUUUAGAUUGUGGAUGGCAUCACUCUGAUCUAAAGUAUGUGGUACAAGCAGAAUCUAUGUGGGUUUGAGAGCUAGAACAUUCUUAGUGUUUUGUCAGGAUCAAAUCUCAUGUCUUUCUCUGAUUCUAGUCAGUGGAAGUCAGACACUGUUUUGACUUAAAAGAUUCUGAUUCCUGUGUCAAAAAGUUUUCUUUGGUACUUGAAAAAGGUUAAAAUUUUACUUGUCAUGAAAAAGGCAGAAACUUUAUUACUCGGAUUGUAGUUUUUUUUUUUUUUUUUUUUUUGCAAUUCUGAUAAUUGUACUUGCUUUGUGAGCUCAUGGUGGUUAUUAUACAAUUACAGGUAUUUGAUCUAACAGAAGUGAAGCCCCAUGAAUUUGUACGGUACGGUUUGGCGUGUUUGGAGACUAUUGCAGCGAAAGGAGAUGAAUGCGCAAGAGAAUGCAGAGAAAGGAUACGGAUCAUGGUGAGUGAUAUGUAUAUAUAUAUUUUGUGACCAUCUUCAGCAAUUGGAAUUGAAUUUGUUAAGUGAGUGGUCAUAAUGAUGAUUAUAGGUGGCAGGUGGUGAUGGUACAGUUGGUUGGGUACUUGGUUGUCUCGGUGAGCUUCACAAAGAAGGAAAAUCACAUAUUCCUCCCGUUGGUGUCAUUCCUCUCGGUACAGGAAACGACCUCUCUAGGAGUUUUAAUUGGGUGAGUGAGUCUAAUAAUGUUUCUCUUAGGUUUUGAAUAACUGUUUCUCACUCUUUAUGUCUCUUUAGGGUGGUGCAUUUCCUUUUGCUUGGAGAUCUGCUAUGAAAAGAACAUUACACCGAGCAACUCUAGGCCCCGUUGCUAAAUUAGAUAGCUGGAGUAUUGUAGCGUCGAUGCCAUCUGGAGAAGUCGUGGAUCCUCCUUAUUCUUUGAAGCCUUCUGAGGAAACUGCACUUGAUCAGGCUUUGGAUGCCGAAGGAGAUGUACCUCCUAAAGCAAAGUCAUAUGAAGGAGUAUUUUACAACUACUUCAGCAUAGGUAACUUUCUCUUAUUCAGUAUCCUUGUACUCAUUUUUUUUUUGAGGUAACACUUGUAUUGUUUUGUUAAGGUAUGGAUGCUCAAGUUGCAUAUGGAUUCCACCAUCUCCGCAAUGAGAAGCCAUAUCUAGCUCAAGGUCCCGUUACAAAUAAGGUUGUUAUAUUUUUGUUAAAAAGCUAAUGUUUCACUUAUUAGCUGAGUUUAUAGGGUAUAUAAUGAGAUUAUGAAUCACACUGCAGAUUAUUUACUCAAGUUAUAGUUGCACUCAAGGUUGGUUUUGUACACCUUGUGUCAGUAAUCCAGGUUUAAGGUUAGUAUUUCCAGUGAAGAGCUUAUUCUGAGUUCUACUCCUCUCUAUCUUUUGUUGUGUUGACAUGUUGUGGUAAGAUGAAUUUUUGUAGGGGACUAAGAAACAUAAUGAAAAUCCAUAUUAAAAAGGCAAAUUGCUCCGAGUGGGAAGAGAUCCUGAUUCCUAAAAGGUACAAAAAGUUUAAUUAUAUGCAUUGGUUAAAAAAACAUUAUCAUUCACUUAUACAAUCUCUCUGUUUUCUUUUUGUGUAGCGUGAGAUCCAUUGUGGUAUUGAAUCUUGAUAACUAUGGAAGUGGAAGACAUCCAUGGGGUAAUCUGAAACCAAACUAUCUAGAGAAGGUAAUGUUUCUCUAAAAAAAAAAUUCAGUACACUAAUGUUUUGUUUCUUUGCUUGCUCUUCAAGCUUCAACAAAAUAGGUUUUCUUUUUUUUUUUGUUCACAGAGAGGAUUUGUGGAGGCGCAUUGUGAUGACGGGCUGAUAGAGAUUUUUGGAUUGAAGCAAGGUUGGCAUGCGUCAUUUGUAAUGGCUCAAAUCAUCACGGCUAAGCACAUUGCUCAGGUAUAGAAAACAAUCUGUCCUCGGUCAUGUCCCGGUUUAGCCUCGGUUUCAUCUUGACCGGUUUUAUCAAUAUUUUCAGGCUGCUGCGAUUAGGUUUGAACUAAGAGGAGGUGAUUGGAAAGAUGCGUUCUUGCAAAUGGAUGGUGAGCCAUGGAAGCAACCGAUGAAAACUGAUUAUUCUACUUUUGUGGAGAUCAAAAAGGUUCCUUUUCAGUCGCUAAUGAUCAAUGGUGAAUGAUCUCAGCAUUUUCCAGAGGUUUUAUGAGAUGAUGUGAUAGGAAAAAAGAGGAGCCUGAUCUAUUUGUAUUUUUAUUAAUUAGUCAAAAUAGCCAUCUCUGUUCAUCUUCUGCUGCUGAUGUUGUUGUUGUUGUUGUGCCUAUGAUGAAUGUAUUUUUGGAAGGGAUUGUAAUUUAUGAUGAUGUUUUCAGUAUCUAUUAAAAAACAGUCAAGUUUCAAGCAAUCAUUUGAAGAUGGUCUUGUCUUUAAAUCUUGUAAACUCGUCAUGUUUAAUAUGCUUAUCCAUGUCUUUUCUUCACUGUUUUGCAAUCGAUUUAGUGACAACAUUGAGAAUGACCCUGUGAUAUAACUAUUCUAUGAUACAAUUCCUAACUGUUAUGAAAAGUAUAUAUUAGGAUCUAAAACUUAGGAUCUAAAACUUUAAAAUUUGAGUAAGUGUUUCAAAAAAAAAAGGAUCUAAAACUUUUUAAUUUUAGAUAUACUUCAAAAUUUUGGGUUUAUAAUUUUAAAAAACGUUAAAUAUAUAUAAACAGAGCUACUUUUUUUUUGUCAAGAUAUAAAUAGAGCUAUUAACUUUUAAAACUACAUCAUUAUUAUUUUAAUCAUCAUUUUUUUAAAAUAUAGAGUUUAGAAAUAAUUUGAGACUACUAGAUUAAAAUAGUUUAUUGUCCAAAAUUUGAGAUAUGUAUAUAAUUACUUAAGUCUUAUUAACCAAAGGAAAUGGUCCUCACACAAACAUACAUAAGAAAACGUCCGAAAACAAUCGUUGUCUGGUUUUCCCGACCGCACGUUAAAACUUCACCAAUAAUAAAUAACGCUGUAUACAAAAGAAAGAAUAAAAUGAACGCAAGAACAACUUCUUUUGGUAUGAGUUUUUUUUGUGAGAUGUACAAAUGGAUCAUACUCAAUAAGGCCUCACCCCAAGAAAAUUCCCCGGUGGAAAGUAAUUGCAAGCGAAUAACACACCGCGUCCGCCAUUGCAAAUCACGUGAGCGCAGCCUAUCCUCUGCGUGUUCUUCCACACAAUCUGCGUGUAAUGGCCACACAUCUCGGCCCUACACGAGUUGGAGUAAUAGUUAUAGCUCCUUGCUUCGGACAACCAUCCAUUAGCGGCUUGAACCGGGCUCCAUCUUUUGCCUGAUCCCCAGAAUAGAUUCUCACCGUACGGUCCAUUCGAAUGGAUCAAGGCGCAGUCACGGCGCCUCUGGUUGGCCCACCACUGCGCGUAACGGGCUAGUUUGGCGUCCCACUUUAGCGGUUUGAGCCUCAAGCGAGCUCUUGCUGCGUUUUGUGGACCCACGAAUUGUUGUUGGUAGUUUGCAGCAUCAACGCAAUGAAAACAUGCUACGAGUAUUAGUAUGAGAGCCGCGAAUGCAGACGAAAACCUAUUAAUGUGUUUAGGAGAAGCCAUUGCGGGUGAAGCUUCACCUAAUGGUGUUUACUUUGGUUUUAUAUAAGCUUCAAAUCGUGAGGGGAAAUUUGUUUAUAUGAUUUUUUAGUGAUAUGUAUUUUUAUUUUAUAUACUAAAAUAAGGUUUUAGUGAUGAAAUUUCAACUCUAUUAUUAGUGGUGUACAUGUUCGAUUAUGAUAGCCACAUUUGAAUUUGUUUUGAAUUCUUAGAUUUUGUAUAUAACUAAGCAUGUAUUAUAGUAGUUUAUAUAUGCUUAACGUAUAUUUUAUGCAUAGUAGGUAAGUUAUAUAUUAAUCGAUAUUGUAGACUACCCCAAAAAAGUCUUGGGAGGCGAGAUGAUUUAAUGUAAAGAAUUGUUCGUUAAUGGUAUAAUAUUAUUUAUAUAACCGAUAAUUGUUUUUUAACUAAGUCAGCCGGCAAUAUUUAGGCAUAAAGUUUAGUUUUAAUUUAUUAUUACCAUUUGACAUUUUAUAUAACUGAUAGUAUAAGUUUCAAAGUGGUUCUCAUUAGACCAGGUUGGAGUUGUGUUGGAUCCAAAAUGCAAAUGAGAUAAAACGCCUAAAAGCCCACAUAGUGCAACAAAAGUAUAACUCUAAUGCACUACAUGAUUAACUAUGAACAUUAUAUUCUAUGCUGAUUGUCAACAAGUUCAAAGCCAAGCUUUAUUAUCUACUAAUAAUAGCAAUCUCAGUUAAUUCCAAAGGUUGUGAAUCUCACUUAUGUUGAAAGGUUGUAUCUUUUCUCAAAAAUCUAAAAAUGGUUGUGUUUUUUCAAAAACUUCAAUGUUGGAAAGUUGUGUCUUUUCUAAAAAUUGUCUAAAUAGUUGUGUUAUUUUUUAUGACGUAAAUACUCAAAAAUCUCUUUGUACAAUUCUUUGUUUAUGAGAUGUGUAUAUGUUAGAGUAAUGGGUUAUGUUGUGUCUUUUUUUUUGUAAAAAAAUUGAUAAGUUGUAACUAUUCAUGUAAAUAUCUUUUAAAAAGUGAAAAAUUGUGAUUUUUCUUAUAAGUACCUUUUCAAAAUAACUACCUUUAAAUUGGAAGAAUGCGACUAUUCAAAUAAAAGAGUUGUGACUAUUCAAAUAGAUUUUUAACUUCUAUAAAUAUCUCUGCCAUGCAUUUCUCAAAAUAAAAAUUUCAGUACUGAACUAAUAAUAAAAUGGUGGAAAAAAAAAGUUUUAAGCAGUUACUUGGAUAAAUUUUUUUAAAAGACAUUCAAAUGAAACGUUAUAAGCAAAAAAUAGUAGGCAUGAUUUCUUUGCAAAGCUUAAGAAAUUGUAGAUAAAAUAUAAAAUACAGAUUUUUCUCAUAAAUUUUUCUAAUAUUAUUUCAACGCUUUUUUGUCUAAAGAUUUGUUUUUUAUUUUUUAAAAAUGCAUAAUUUUUUAAGGAUUCUCAAAAUUGCUGAGGACAUAUAUUGUUAUCCUAAAUUAUGCAUAACUUUUUAAAUGAGCUAUAUUUUAUUUUAUUUUCCUAUCUAUUUUAUAUACAUUUAAAUAUAAUAUUAAAAUUAUCUAUAAAUUUCAGAAAAUUUAAUUUUUAGAUAAUUUAAUUUUUUUGUAAGAUAUAUCUAUAAAUUAUUGUACCUAUUGAUGAUUGUAGUCUUUACAGAUGAACUAUUGCAACUAUUCAUAAUAGUAAAUUUUGGUUAAGAACCAUUGCAAUUUUUGGUAUUGGUUAUUAAUCAUUGUAACCUUUAACUCUCUAUAUAAAGAGUUGUAAAGUUGUGUGUAUUAGUAAAUCAUAAUUUAAAACAAAUAAAAAAUAGAGAGAAAAAGAGAGAUUCACUUUUUCAAUUGAUCAUCAAAGAUCCUGAAGAAAUAAAUCAAACACAAAACUUUAUUUGUUAUUCAUGUGCCUCCUAAUUAGCAAACCUGUUUUUUUUUUUGUUAACUGUUGAUGUUAUCAUUUUUUAUAGGAAAAACAAAAUGCAUCUCCUGGUGAAGCAAACAACAUCUUCGUUUCUUAAAGCAAACGACAUAUUUUGUCAUCCCUGAACCAACGUCUUCCUCGAAUAACAAUGGCACCUCUUUAAAAGAUUUAUUUAUAUAUGUCAUUCUCUCUGAUAUUGUACUCUUUCCAUUGGUUCUUUUAUAUCUUUUAAGAUUUUUAUUAAUCAAAGUUACGUCUUGUUCUAUAUUUGUAGGUGUUUAAUUACUAGAUUCCAUUAAUUAAAUAUUAAUGGGUUUUGGAACAACGAAGUUGGUACCAUCUUUUUCUCUUCAAAUUUUUUUUUCACUAAAGGCUUGCAAUAAUAGAGAAUGGAGAGAUAUCAAAGGCUGUAGCCUGUAGUCCCACUUGUUCCAAGGUGAUUUCUAGUUUUUUGACACCUUUUGUCAAAUUAGUGUUAUACUUCUGUACGAACGAAGAGAUGUCAUUGGACUCAGACUUUGAAAAUUUUGUUUGGACGUGUCUUUCCACAAAAACUGAAAUAUGUUAGUUAUAAGAAUUGUGUUUUUACGUAGUAGAAUAUAUUAGAAAGGUAUGCCUUUUUUAUAAAAAUAAAUGAAGUCUAUUAGUUUCAUAUGUUGUGUAUCUUCAUUAUAAAAAAAAGUUAUGUCUUUUCACAAUAAACUAAACUCUAUUGAUUUUAAGAAUUGUGUCUUUUAUGAAAAAUGAACUCUAUUAGUUUUAAGUUGUAACUUUUCAUCAUAAAAAAUAAAUUAGUUUAAAAGUAGUUAAAAAUAUCUCAGUAGGUGUUUUUCUACAAUUAAUAGUUUUAAGCGUUGUGUCUUCUCAUUAUAAAAAAACUAGUAAUAAUAAUCUGAAAUAAUGUUAGAAAUUGAGUCUUUUCAUAUAAAAAAUGUAUUAGUUUUAAGAAUUGUAUUUUACAUUUUUAAAAAGAUAUAUUUUUAUAAAAACUGAAGUGUAUUAUUGUAAGAGUUGUGUUUCUUCAUUAUAGAAAAAUUUAUGUCUUUUCAUACCAAAAAAAAAACUGAACUCUAUUAAUAUUAAGAGUGGUGUUUUUUCAUUGUAAAAUAAAUUAGUUUAAAAUAAUUGAAAUAUUCCAAUAAGUAUGUUUCUACAAUUAUUUAGUUUUAAAGAGUCAUAUCUUCUCAUUAUAAAAGAUAACUUAUUUUUGUAACACAUUUAUUUAUUUACAAAAAAUUGCAAACAGUUUUCUAUAAAAGAUUAUCUUAUAAAAUAUGAAAUAUCUAUUUUUAUAAAUGAGUUACUGUGCGACAUCGCACGGGUUCCUUGCCUAGUUGUAUAAGUAACGAAAAGAAAGAUAUGCUGCAGAGUACUAUACAGGUUAUGUUGAUCAGGACACUACGCAAGAGCUUGAGCGAUGAUGGACCGAUAAGACAAUUGUUGUUCGUAGGGUCACGUAAGAUCCUUAAGGUUUGAUGUUGAAUGAACCACCUAAAUUCCAUCACAUUUGUCGCAUAAAUGACAUGAUAAAUGUAUGAAUUUGGGUACCCAAAGCAAUGAAGUUCGAUAAGCGUAUACUCGUCCAGCUGCGUUCAAAGCUUUCAUAGCAUCAUGGAGAAUAUUGCUGCUCCCAAAAGAGUAUUGUCUCUUUCUUGGGGAAGAAUAAUAGGACAACCUGCUAGACCUAUCCAAUGAGAUUACUACGUUUUUGUGUGUGAGUGAUUAUACAUCGUUUUUUUUGUCAGUCCCCCGUCGCAUCGUUAUGUUAUUGAUCCUAUUUCUGUUCAGGGCUCAGUUGGUCGUUGCUAUCUAGAUUUGUGUACGUUAUUAACAUUGAGGCAGAAUGAUGCAUUUUAAUUUCAAAUUCACUAAGCAGAUGCCUAGGAAAAUACUAAUGGAAUUUUAUGUAGUUUUUUUUUUUUGAAACACACUUCAUUCAAUUAAUAAAAGUUAGUUGGAGGUCAUAAAGGCCUCACUUACACCAAGCAACUGCUUUGCUACUAAAUCAGCAGCAUAGUUCCUCUCAGAACCUUCCAAAUUAACAUUUUGACUUUAGGCGCUGUUCUUAGAUUCCAAACCUCUUGGUUCCAGUUGCCUGCUAGCUGUAGGUUAUCUGCAUCAUUUGUCUCGUUGAAAGCAGCAUGAUAACUUAAGUGAUUUUUAAAGUUUAUGUAUUCAUAAAAGUUUGGAAACAAACGUUUACUAACUUAAGUGAUGAUUUUGAAAAAAAUAUUUGAUAUUUUUUUUAAUUGAACGUUUGUUUCCAAACUUUUUAGGAUCUGUAUUAUCUCUUUAGAUCUUUUUUUUACUCUUGCCAGAUUAUGACUAAAUUAAAUUAAGUAAUAAAUCUAAUAAAUCUGCAAUUGUUUUCUUUUAGAAAGAGAAGUUUCAGUUAUAACUUUUGUUAAAUUAUUCAGAAAAUAUAAGUAGAAAUAAAAUCUACCAAUUCUAUAACUUUCAAUUACUAGAUUCUUUUCUCUCUCUUAUAUUUUUAAUGUUUUGAGAUUUACUGAUUUGUUAGGAAAAAGUCUUCAUAAUUUGAUUUUGUUGGGUCCAUAUAAAAGCUAAUUGUACUCUUCCAAGACCUUGAAGUUUAACACAAUAUUUAUAGGGCUUCUCCAAUCGACAGGUAGUAAUUCUCGCUGAAUAUGAUCCGCCAAGAUGAACAACUGCAUGAAAAUAAGAACACCAAUCCUCCACCGCAGCUUCCGCCGCUCAAUCUACAACCUCAUUCGUUUUCUUCACUCCCAGAUGUAAUCGUUGAGAACAUUCUUGCUCGUAUCUCGAAAUGCAAUUACCCUAACCUCUCUCUCGUCUCCAAGAGAUUCCUAUCUCUCCUCUUUUCUCCAGAAAUCUACACGACACGUUCUCGCAUCGGAACCACAGAGCCAUGCAUCUAUAUCUGCGUGGAACGUUUCAAAGACCUUGGUCUUAAAUGGUACACUCUUUGGACGAAACAUGCUCAUGUUGAAACAUUAACUGUUGACAAUGCUCAAGAAGAUGAUCUUCCAAAUAACGAAUAUUCGCUGGUUCCCCUUCCUGAAUCUAAUUCUCUCGUACCAUUUAUGGAUUGCAUAAUGUAGUGGUUGGUUCGGAAAUCUAUUUAUUCGGUGUGACCUCCUCUGAACAGCCUUCUUCAUCUGUUCGUAUUCUUGAUUGUCGAAGUCACACGUGGCGUGAUGGCCCUAGCAUGUUGGUGGCUCGAAGGUGUCCCUAUGCUGUUUUUCUCGAUGAGAAAAUAUAUGUAUUUGACGGUUGCGGGGAAGAUGAUACUUGGAUGGAAGUAUUGGACAUGAAGACUAAUACUUGGAGCCCCUUGCUUAGACAUAAAGAUGCUGUGCUAGAAGAGGGGUGGUUAAAUACAGUUGGGCUUCAAGGAAAGAUUUACCUAAUUACUAAAAUAAACUACUGUGCUUAUGACCCAAAACAAGGUACGUGGGAAGUCGUGGAAGUCCACGAUAAUUUGGGAUAUUUAGGCAAAUUGUGUGUGAGUGUGAUAGAUGAUGUAAUGUAUAGUUAUUCAUACUACUCCGAUAAUCUAGUCUGGUAUGAUUCCAAAUGUAAAAAAUGGAUAGACGUCAAGCUCUCGAAUUUCGAACUAUUGUAUGAGUGGCGUAUGGUUAAUAUACUCAACCACGGUGGGAAACUUUUAGUUAUGUGGCUCUGCAAUUUUGAGGAAUACGACGAGAUAGAGGGAUGGAAACUUAGGUGCGCGAAAAUCAUGUUAGAGAAGCGCCAUGGAAAUGAGGUUUGGGGUGAGAUAGAAUGGCCUGUUACUGAGGUUAAGCUCCCCGAGUUGUCUGAGCGCUUUAAUUCUCUAGUCAUUUCGAUUUGAUGAUUCGUGAAAGAUGGUGUGUUUGAACUAGUUGACCUUACUAGUCGUUGUGUUCUUCUUAAAUGAGCAUGUUGUUUUUAUGGUCUCUCAUGAAAAUAGUUUGAGAUUUAAAAUAUAUUUUUAUAUAUGCAUCAUUAUUGUCACAAUAUUAAGUUGUAAUGCUUUAGAAACAUUUCCUUAUCAACAUUGAGAAUGGAGUAUGGACUCUUGUGUCCUAAGGGCAUCUCCAUCCCCAUUCCAUUUUUCUUUCUAAAAUGGAGUAAAAAUAAAUAUGGAGUAAGGAAUGCUGCAAUCCAACUCCAUAUCUCACUCUAUAAUGAAAUCUACUCCAUAAAUGGAGUAAUCUAUUUUUUGUUUGUUAAUGAAGUGAAAAAUGGAGUAGAGAUAGAGCAAUUUUACUCUAUUUUCACUUUUACUCCAUUUUGAAGGAAAAAAUGGAGUUUUACAUUGGAGAUGCUCUAAGUUCGGUUUCAGUCGUGCACCUUGAACCUUAGACCUCUCAGCUGAAAAUUUGAUUGAUAAAGGCUUUCUCAAUGAACAUGUCCAACGGCGAUAGCUCCGGAAAAUCAAUUUCAUCGUCUUUAUGACAUUUGGCAUUAGAACAGCUCCAUCCGUGAAGCCGCUUGAACUUCUUAAUGAUAAAUGUAAUAUUUAAUAUCCCAGCCGUUUCAAAUUAUACGAUGUUUUAUAAUGUUUAUGUUGUUUCAAAAUAAUGAUGUUUUUGAGAUUUUAAGGUUAAAUUUAACUUUAUUGGAAAUUGUUCAACUAAUACUUCCUAUGUUUUCGAAAGUAAGAUUUUCUAAAGUGUUCACGUUUAUUAAGAAUUCAACAAAUGUUUAUAAUUUAGUUUUUUUUUAUUUUAUUAUACACUUUCCAAUAAUGAACAUAUUUGAAACUGAGUACAUGAAACUUUCAGUAAAAAAAAAAAACUCUUAAGAAAUGCGCUCUCUACCACAGUUAAUAAUUUCCUAACUGUUACGAUAUCUAUAAUGCAAUAGACAGAAUUUAAUGAUACUUCAAUGUGUAUGACUUACUGUUACGUUCUAGACUUAUAGGUGGGCUACGUUUGAAAUUAAUAAAACACAGGCGAACUUCUCUAUAGGCGGUGCUCAAGAGUCGAAGCCGCGUUGACACAUCAAAACAUUGGAACCAGACAAUUUGAAACAAUAAUGAAAUAAUGAAAUUAAUAUUUUAAUUGGAUUCGUUUUGCAACAGCCAACAACGGAUCAAAUCAUUAAUGUAAUACAUUACUGUAUUAUUAGAAAGCUCAUCCAGUGAGACAAAAGCACAUGCACCAUUAAUGAUCAAACUCCAUGAAACUUCCAUCUCUCUAUCUCUUUCGCUUCAUUUCUAGCAGCUAUAUAAACCAAUGUCACGUACCUCAAUUUCCAUUAACAAUAUACAUCAAAGAUCUACAAAUUAAAAUGAAGUUUUCUUGCGGUACAAGGUUUGCCUUCUUGGCUCUCUUCCUCUUUGCGCUACAAUCUGUGUGUGUCUAUGCGGGUAGCUUCCACAAAGACGUUCAGAUACAUUGGGGUGAUGGCCGUGGAAAGAUUCACGACAAUGAAGGAAAACUUCUUUCUCUCUCGCUUGACAAAUCCUCUGGAUCCGGUUUCCAAUCCAACCAAGAGUUUCUUUAUGGCAAAGCCGAGGUUCAAAUGAAGCUUGUCCCUGGUAACUCUGCUGGAACAGUCACAACUUUCUAUGUAAGUAACAUAUUGUCUCUAAGCAUUUUUGUCAUAUUUUACUAUACGUUUGAUUACAUAUAGUUAUUGAGCGUGUUGGUGUUUUAUGAUGACUUUGUGUAGCUUAAAGCGCCUGGAACUAUGUGGGAUGAGAUCGAUUUCGAGUUCUUGGGAAACAUAAGUGGUCAUCCUUAUACUCUUCAUACUAAUGUUUACACAAAAGGCACAGGAGACAAAGAACAACAAUUUCAUUUAUGGUUCGACCCAACCCUUGGCUUUCACACUUAUUGCAUCACAUGGAACCCCCAAAGGAUUAUGUAAGUUCUCCUUUGAUCCCUUAUAGUCUCAUAUGUUUUGAGGUUAUGUGUUUAUGAAUCAAUAUUUUCCUCUUUUUUUGUUUGCUUUAUCAGCUUUACAGUUGAUGGUAUUCCCAUCAGAGAGUUCAAGAACUCUGAGUCAAUUGGAAUUCCAUUCCCAAAGGACCAACCAAUGAGAGUCUACGCUAGCCUUUGGGAGGCCGAGCAUUGGGCUACAAGAGGAGGAUUAGAGAAAACAGAUUGGUCCAAGGCUCCUUUUACUGCUUUCUAUAGAAACUACAAUGUGGAAGGAUGUGUUUGGGCUAAUGGAAAAUCAUCUUGUCCAGCGAAUUCCCCAUGGUUCACUCAGACACUCGACAAGAGUGGCAUAGAUAAAGUGAAAUGGGCGCAGAGUAAAUACAUGGUCUAUAACUAUUGCACCGAUACAAAAAGGUUUCCUAAAGGUGUCCCUAAAGUGUGCACUUAAACUAUUGAUUCUUUGAUUUGUCAAUAAGUUAUUGGCGUUGUCUUUGUGAUUCAAAUAAGUUUCAUUUAUUCUGUUUCAUUCAUUUGUUGCUCAUGUAUGUGUGUUUGGUGGUGUAUGUGCAAAUUUAUUAAAUUAAUAAGUGAAUAAUAAAACAAGGGUUUUCGUUACUUAACUUAAUUGGAUCCACUUGAUUUGUGAAAUUUAUAAAAUAUUGAGACCAUUGAUAAGUUCAUUACUAAAAUAGUAAAUUACACAUCAAUUCUUGGGAAGCACAAAUAAAACAGUUUUAUGAGAAAUGAGAAUCAGAAAACUAUAGUAUCGGUUUUGUCUACGCACAAUUGAAUUGAGUAGAAACAAAACAAUUUAGCCAGAAGUAAUGUUUCUCUUAAGUCUUAACGUGUGGGGAAGUUGAUGAUUUUGUAGACUCGACGUCAAAAAUCGGAUCAUGAGCUUUCGUGUUGUUUAUAUUAUACGGCCAGGCUACAAUGCGUGAACAAGAUUAUGUUGAUACAAGGACCAUGAUCGUGAAAGUGGAACACAGUUUGUUUCUUAAUCUCAUAAUUAAUUAUUUGGAAUGGCAGUUUGUCAACGUAGGGACUAAUUUGUCAAACUAAAUUUCAUAUAUACUAAUAAACUUGCGCGUCCAGGCUUAUGUCAUAAAAUCCAGCUAACUAAAUUAUAUUACCCGUAACGUUAUACUAAUCGUCAAAGCUUUUGCUAUUAUUUUACCCAAACAAAGUGAAACAUCUUAUGUUUUUUAGUUUAGCUAGUGGUUUCAACCAUUAAGAGAGUGAAAUGUCAUCUGUAUAGAAAUAUAUUUUUAUGCAACAUUCAAAAUGUGGAAUAUACCAUGCUUUUUUUUUCAUAAAUCAUGGUUAAUUAAAUUAAAGUUGUGGAAAAGUAUAAAAGUGGAUGUUGUUAUUUAACGCAAAUAUUAAUAUAUUCGAACCCUCUAUGCGGCGGGGAGGGUUUGCGCUUAGGUCAAAAGUCGAAGCCGCGUUGACGAAAUGAUUUCGGUACAUUCAGAACGCGGGACCAGCAUGUGAUAUACAAAUUGUCCAAAUACAUUAUUUUCUCUGCUUUGUAAUAAAAAACGAGUAGUGGAAUUAUAUUUUAUGGAAUUAUUUUGUAACAACCAACAAGCGGUCGAAUGCGCCAACUAGAAUACAGCACAAUAUCAAUAAUCAAACCAUGAAACUAUGAAACUUCCCUCUCUUUUUCCUUUGCCAUUUUCCAGCAGCUAUAUAAACUCAUGUCACUUAUCUCAGUUUUUCAUCAACAAAAAACAUUCGAGAUAUCAAUACUACUCAAGAAAUAUAUAAAAUGAAGUUUUCUUGUGGUACAAGAUUCGCGUUCUUGGUUCUCUUUCUGAUUGCAGCACAAUCUGUGGCUGUUUAUGCCGGUAGCUUCCAUAAAGACGUUCAGAUACAUUGGGGUGAUGGACGUGGAAAGGUUCGCGACAGAGAUGGAAAGCUUCUUUCUCUCUCGCUCGACAAAUCAUCUGGUUCGGGUUUUCAGUCCAAUCAGGAGUUUCUCUAUGGCAAAGCCGAGGUUCAGAUGAAACUUGUCGCUGGUAACUCUGCUGGAACAGUCACAACAUUCUACGUAAGUAACAUACCGUUUCGAACAUAUUUGGGCAUCGUUUCCUAUUCGCUAGGUUACAUAUAAUUGAUGAGUACAUUCGUGUUUUAUGAUGACUUGGUGUAGCUUAAAGCGCCUGGAACUAUGUGGGAUGAGAUCGAUUUUGAGUUCUUGGGAAACAUAAGUGGUCAUCCGUAUACCCUCCAUACUAAUGUUUACACACAAGGAUCAGGAGACAAAGAACAACAAUUUCAUUUGUGGUUCGACCCAACAAAGAACUUUCACACAUACUGCAUCACAUGGAACCCCCAAAGGAUUAUGUAAGCAGAUCAUUCCAUCCUUUGCACAUUAAUAUUACAAGUUUUGCGGCCAUACAGAAUCUCAUUAGCUUAUACUUUGUUAAGGUUAAUAAACUUCUCUUAGAUGUUAUUCUAGGUCUCAAUACAUUCUUUCGAUGUAGGAUUCCUAAUAAGUUUUCUUUUAUUUCCUCUUUUUCAGUUUUACAGUCGAUGGUAUUCCUAUUAGAGAGUUCAAGAACUCUGAGUCGAUUGGAGUUCCAUUCCCAAAGAACCAACCAAUGAGGCUCUACGCGAGCCUUUGGGAGGCAGAGCAUUGGGCCACAAGGGGAGGAUUGGAGAAAACAGAUUGGUCAAAGGCUCCUUUUACUGCUUUCUACAGAAACUACAAUGUGGAAGGAUGUGUUUGGGCUAAUGGAAAAUCAUCUUGCCCUGCGAAUUCCCCAUGGUUCACUCAGACACUCGACCAGAGAGGCAUAGAUAAAAUGAAAUGGGCGCAGAGUAAAUACAUGGUCUAUAACUAUUGCACCGAUACAAAAAGGUUUCCUAAAGGUGUUCCUAAAGUGUGCACUUAAACUAUCGAUUCUUUGAUUCGUGAAUGAGUUACUUGGCGUUGUCUUUGUAACUCAAAUGAGUUGUAUCUAUUAUGUUUCAUUCAUUCGUUGCUCAUAUUAUGUGUGUGUGUGUGUUUGUGGAAGAUUUUUUAAGUAAUAACAAAUAAUAAAUUAUGGAAAGAAAAGGUUUCGUUACUACAACUUUAUUGAUUUCACUAGAGUUAUAAAGUUCUUAACAUUUAGAGAGGUUCAAAAUAUAGAAGAAAUACUUGGGUGGAACAUUAAAAACUUAUGCUUAGGGUUGGUUUCAAGUUUGGUCGUAGGAAUGGCUUUGCUUAAUAGUAAGACGAUAAAAGUGAUAUAUAUUAUUUAUAGGGGAUAGGGAUUAGGGAAAACUUUUUACAUAGUAACAGUAUAUUAGGUGACAAUAAAUCACAAUAGAUUCAUAUAUAUCAAGAAGACUUCUACUAAUGCACAAGAGUAACGAGACAUUAUGGUAAAGAAGAGGAAUAAGUCCAAGUGAUACUAGGUACUCAGAACAAUCUAGUCUUUUGCGUCUUAGCACUAAUUUGAAGUUAGUGUCACAAAAAGGAUAAAAUAAUAUAUAGAUUUCAAUAGUAUAAUCUAGCUUUUGUUGUUUUCGAUUUUUGUUGUUCUCUUCUUCUUUUUUUCUGUUGGAUUAGGAUGGAUGUAAACAAAUCUUCAUUCAGAAAAUGUCAAAUCAAUCAAAAGAGUGGAAAAUAAUAUGUGACGAUAUGGAAAAGAAGCAUAGUUGCAAGAUUUUAUGCAUAUGAUACUAGUUAAGAGAAUAUCACCAAAAAAUUAGUACCCUUAUCAAAAACUAGUGACAACAAUUUAGAAUAAGAACUCGUCUUGAGUAACAUAUUGUCUCUAUAUUUACAAAACAAAUAUGUGUUAUUUCGCUAUUCUAGCAGACUGGGCCUAUGGGCUGGCUAAGUAGCUUUACUAAUGCUUGUACAACAAGAAACUAAGAAGACUCAAAAUUGUGUUAGAAACAGCAAUAAUAAAAGCUUGGCCACCAUCAUACCAAACAACAAUGUAAUUUAGCUACUUAUGAAUUGCUUUAUCGUGUAGAUAAAUAGAAAAUUGAGAAAGUUGCACAGAAGAAAAGAGGAAGUUGGAAAAUAACGUAUGAUCAUGAACUUAUGCAUUAAAUUAUUUCCAAAGAAAAUUAGCAUCUAUAUAUCGCGACAAUCGGUUGCACAUACUGGUGUUUAAAUUAGGCAUAUGGACAUUUUGGGUAUAGAUUCGAUUCGGGCGGCAUUUUGGAUAUCAGAUAGUGGGGUUAGAAAAUCCAUAUAGGAACCAACAAAAUUAUUGGUUCAAAUCGGUUUGAAUAGUUUCUGGUUCAUGUCGGUUCAGAUAAUAAAUUAGGAACUGUUUAAUAUACAAAAAAAUCGGUUUUCGUUUUGAUUUCAGUUAUAGUUCCGUUAUUUCGGGUAAUUAGGCUAAUUCAGGUAAAAUAUAUGUUAUUUGGGUAAAAUUUUGAGUAACUAAGAUGAUUCAGAUAAAAAUAUCGGAUUAUUUAGAUAUUUUGGAUAAAUAUCUGAACAUUUUUUGAUAAUUUUUUUUCUCAAAUACAUUGGAUAUUUUUAAUAAUUUUUAGGUAUUAUAUAUAUAUAUAUUUAGUUAUGUUAUAUCUAAUAUAUUACUAGAAAAUUUAUAUAUAUGAAUAUAUGUUUAGUUAUGUUCAGUUAUUUUAGAUAUACAAAUAUAAGAACCAUCCAGUAUAUGAAGAUUUUUUUCAUGUUCCGGUUUUAAUUAUUUUAGUUUGGUUCAUAUUAGGAUCUCCAGUAUUGAUUUUUUUGCCCAAAACUAGUUUAAAUCAUCAGAUUAGCGUUGUGGGUUUAUAUGAGUUUUGUUUAUGCAACUAUUUAAAGGAUCUCCAGCAAGAAACAAAUUUUUGAGGGUGGAUGAUUCUCAAAUGAGGAUUUGAAGGCAGGUUGCUCCAACAAGGAACCUCAAAUAUAUAUUUAAAGUUAUUUUGGAUAUUACAUUUCAAUCUUGAACCUUCGUAAUAAUUAAUUAUAAGCACAUUUUUUAAUAAAUACAUAUUAAUAUGCAAAAGAAAAAUUAUAACUCAUAUAUAUAUACACAUUGGGUUAAUCAAAUAAACUUUUUUUAUUUAUUUUUUCAAGAAAGGCAUCAAUUAGAAAAAGAGUUACAAAAUGGUUUUUUUUUAAAGGCAUCAAUUAGAAAAAGAGUUGCAAAAUGGUUAAAUUAUGUAUGCAUAAUAUUUCUAUUUUACAUAAUAUUAGUGUAUAUUAACAAUUUUGAUUUAAAUUUGGACACAUUUAAGUAUUUUAUGUAUCAAUAAUAACAUAUAUGUAAAUAUAUAUUUGAAUAUUUAAUCGAAAUAUAUUUAUAAAGAUUAAAGUGGUACAAAAUAAUAUAUUAAUAAAAUUAAAUGUAAGUUACAUAAUUGUAAAGACUAAACUGAAAAGUAAAAAGUGUUUUGAGGUUUUAACUAUUUAGAUUUUUAAAAUUUGAAAGUUUGAGGACUUGUUGGAGAAUAAGAACCUUGUUGGAUAUGCUUUUAAGCAUAACAGAAUAUUAUACUCCAUCCGUUCCUAAAUAUAGGAUGUUUUACAGAAUUUUGAUGUUAUAAUAUAAGAUGUUUUCAUUUUUCUAUGUAGUUUUUACUUUAUUAAAAACUGUGUAAUCAAUCAUAUUUAAUAAUCUAUUUUAUAAUUGAUUGAAUACCAUUAAUUUAUAGUUUAAAUGAUAUUUUUUAGACAAAAUUAAUAUCUAUUUUUUUAUCGAGUCAUUUUACAUUUAGAAAUAGAAGGAGUAUUUGAUUUGAAAAAAGAAAAGAUAAAAGAGAAAUGGUUGAUGAUUAUCCGAUAAGGUUGUUAUCGAAACAAGUGGAUAAUAGUAAUAGAUAUUUAACUGCUGAGUGCUGAGGAUUAGUGUUCAGAAAAGUGAUCAUAGUACCAUUAUUAAUACAUAUAACUACUGGCAAUAACCAAGUAUGAAAAGGACAUAGCGACCUACAAGACAAACCAAAAUAAUUGGUGUCAGUUGCUAAUUACGCUUAUCCAUUGAGAUCAGCUGGUUUAUGAAAACGACAUUCAAGCAAUUAUUUUAGUAGAAUAACAUAUGAAGUUAUCUGGUUAGGCACAAUAUGUUCGGUAACAAAUGUAUAUGGACAGUUUAUCUGGUUCUAAAUAAUUGUGUGGUCGUGAGGUGAGACUACAGCUCUCUCUCUCUUUUAUAAUUUUGUAUGCAAUGACGAAUCUAUCGUUAUCACUCAUCAGUCUCAUCUUCCGUGACACUUGGCCAAUAGAGAAAUUUCUAGAACAAAAACUAUAGUCUGUACCAAUGUUGAAAAAUUUCAUAAUUUACCAGAGAGUAGUAAGUUAGUAACUCAGAAAGUCAGAAUAGCAGACCUUUAGUACAUUAUAUAACGUUUCAAACAAUAUUCUGAAACAUUUAAUCGCUUAAACAUGAAAUGGGGGUGAUAAACGUUCUAAAACAUACAUAUGAUAUUAAGUUGACCUCGUCUAUAUUGUUUGUUUAAUCUCGAAUAUAUCCAAACACAAAAUUUUGGUUUUGGAUUACAAAAAGAAAGCUGUAUAUCCACGAAUUAAUUAAUUAAUUGAUUUAUUAAAAUUUACAAAUUUGUUUCUUCAAAAUAAAUAAAAAUCUUUGGUCUUCUCAAAAAAAAAUUAGUUGAUAUUUUUAUUUACCAAGUCGCCUCGGCAUAUUGGUAAAUGAUCUCUAGCUGGAAUUUCAGUUUUGGGUUAGAGUAGUAUUGGUCACCUGACCGCAUUCUUAACGAUGAGAUUUUGUAUACCUGGUUGCAAGUUUUCGUGAGAUUAGUUUUUAAACUUAAAAGCUUUUCGGAUUCUAACGGUUAUCAAAAAAAAAUACUACUAUUUUUAGGUCAGCCAGAAGAUAUGGUUACCAAGAAAUUUGAAUGUAAUUUCAAUAAUGACUAUAUAACUUUUCUGAAAAUUAAUACGAACCUGCAACAUUUAUGGAGGCCGGAAUUGACAAGACCAUACAUAGUUGUCCGAGAUAUGGGUUCGUUAAAAUGAAAUAAUAUGGUUGAGUUGAACUAACAGUAAGAUUAGGCCCCUGAUUAAGAAUUAUGAUGAGCCAUUACACUAAGAAAUUAAUUUUGUACUGCUACAGCUGUAAAGCUUACUGGGACCAAGUUGACGUUUGGUUAGGCGGUCCAAAUCAAAAUUUCCGUGUCAGGAAAAUUCAUCCAAUGAAUCAUAUAUAUUCAUAUGUAACUUCUUGUAAUAGUAUUCGCUUUAAUUACGUAGCUAUCCUAUCUUAAUUCUUAUGGUCCAUAGAUUCCAUACUAUUACAUACUCAAAACUCCAAAGUAUGUAUGCAUGCUACUAUUUAAAACCAAACUGUCUUUUGUUUUUACCGCAAGUAUGUCGGUGUAAUAAUAAAGUUAAAUUGUGUUUGACAAGGACUUUCAUAAAUUUAUCCAUGCUUUCUGUUACAGAACUCUUAACCUUUAAAGUGGCGGUUCUUUAGCCCAAAAAUAAAGUGGUCUCUGUGAUCUGAAUAGUUUUACAUUCAAUCUAAUGGUCAAGUUCCACAUGCCAUAUUUUACCCAAGAAGAAGGGUAAAAUAUUAAAUAUUAACGCGUAGGAAAUUUUCAACAGGUUAUGGCUUCAAGUGUUGGAUACUCCUCGUCGACCUACAUGCAUAUAUGAGUUUUUUUUGUCACAAUCAUAUAUGAAUUUUAACAUGUUGAUAAUCUAUACUUUUAUGAUAUUACUUGACCAAAAAAUGUGAAAAGACUAUGUUUUUUGGGGAAAAUUCGACAAUUUGUUAGUACUUUUUGGCGUAAAAACAGAAGAAAAAAAAUCAGCAAAAAGAAAUUGGAAAUGCCAAAUGUUGACAGUUCCUGUAAAUGAACAAAUGCGGAUGGAAGUAGUUUUGGAGCUUGAAAAAAACAGCCUUUGAGUUUGGACCACUCAUAUUCAUUAGACAUUUCCAAUAAAUAUCAGUAGUUGUCCUCAUAGACAGGCAUUAAAUUUAGAGAAUUUAUUUUGUUUGUGGUUUCCUCGAUUUAAUUCUACCUGAAAUAUGGACUAAUAGCUGUUCUAAUUUGUCAUAUGUGUAUUCCAACAAGUGUUGGGUAUUGUUAUACUACUAUACAUCAAUUUCAUAUCACAAAACAUGAAUUAGACCUAUACGUAUGGUUGCAUAUAUUGAUUUAUAACUUUACAUUUCUUUGCAAUGGAACAUCUUUAUUGAGUCCUUCCAUUAAUUAGUGAGCAACCAAAAGAAAUUGACCUUUUUGAUUUACAAGAAAGAGAGAGGAAGAAAACGUGUCAAUGCUACCACUACUUGCACCUUUGCUAACGCAACCAAACCUUUAACCCAUACAAUUAAACUUUUCGUAGUUGCUUCUAUGCUCCAUACACAUAAUAACAAAAUCAGACUGAAUCACAUCGUUUCGUAAUAUAUACCAGUUGCUAGGAAAAUGUGUACGAUCGGAAACCUAUGUUAUAUGCAUGUAGAAAAGUUGGACUUGAGGGUCGAAGCAAGUUUUAUUCAAGAAUAUGGUAAAGUUAACGACCCCAUAAUUGGAUACAUACAAACUCUUAAAACUAGAAAAAAAAAUAUCAAAAUAUAUAUAUUCCAAGACAAAAUAUAUGCCAAAUAUAUAUUGUCCUUAAAUUUCAACGAAAUUCGAAGUCGAACAAUUCCACACGUAAUAUCCCUCUAGACCUCUUAUUAUUCUUUCCUCCUCCCACUAGACAGGCCUCUACGUGGUAAUGAAGAUAUACAAACAAUUUUGAAUUUGGAAAUUCGUGUAAAAUAUCUACAAAGCAUGCAACCAAUUAUAUAGCAAACGUUAUUUAAACAAUUCUUAAAGCUAAAAGUCAAAACUGGCAAACAAAGAAAAAAUAAAGAAAGUACUCAAGUACUAUUAACCAAAGGGAAAGUUAAUACUAGCAUUUAUCAAUACACGACUUUAAAGAAGAGCAGAUAUCAACUCAUAAUUUGUAAUCUUCUCAAACAUACUUUUAAGAAUGAAACAACUCGUUUCUAACAGUAUGACCAUGUUUAUAUUUCAAUUAAGAUUGUAAAAUAAUCUGCUCACCAAAUGAUGGAAGUAAUCGAGAGUCCAGCUGUAAUACAUCUUGCAUGCAAUGUCCUGAUAUUUAGCCUCUUUUGUUCACCCACUCUCCUCUUAACAUUACUUAUUAUUCUCCACCCCACUAUAUAUAUCUCUCUCCCUUCUUCUCUCUUCCUCACAUUCCUCACCAAACUCCAAACACAUACACCCACACGUACGCACACAUAACAAUGUCUCCUUUCAAAAUAUUCCUCUUCUCAGCUCUCCUCGCGGCGGCGUUUUUAGCCUCCGCCGCUGACUUCAACAGCGACGUCAACGUGGCUUGGGG